CCUUUCUUCUGGACCACUUUUCCCUUCCACUUCUCCGAGUUCCUCUCUCAAGUUCUCGCUUUUCUCAAUUCAAUACUUCUUCUCGGCCAACUUAACCAACUCGUAGUCAUCGCCACUGGAUGCAAUUCAUGUGGAUACAUUUACGAUUCCACUUCCAAUAGGAACCAUGCUUCCACAAACGGUACAAUGCCUGCGCUUUAUUCCAAUCUUCUACACAAACUCGAAGAAUUCCUCGCUAGGGAUCAGAAAUUGACCAUGCCUCAUGCACCGGUGACAGUUCCUUCUUCGUUGUUAUCGGGAUCAUUGUCCAUGGCUCUCUGUUAUAUAUAGAGAGCUUUUCGUUCAGGACCGAUGCAUCCUCAGCCUCGGGUUGGACAGCUGCAAUACAGUCCUACAAUAAUCCCAAAGAUUCAUCUAGACCUGUGAAAGUUGAUUAUGUGCUGGGAUGCAUAAGGUUUGACUCACAACUCAUACCCUCACCACCUUCGUCGUUUUUGCUUCAAAGCCACCACACCACCUCCAUCGCAUCUGCUUGGUUACACAAUGAGAAAGAAGUCGGUCCUGUAAAGAAACCAUUUUAAACUUACCCAGGCUUACUUUGAAGUUUGUCAAAACAAACAGAAGAGUAAUCGAAUUAGAAACCAUUGAAGACGGUAAAUAUAAUUUGAAUAUUACAAAUCAGGGUGGAGUUCGUGGUGGAGGUCGUGGUUCUGGUAUGGGUG